GAGCUGUUGCACAUUUAACUAGCGGCAAGGACAGAUCAUCCUAAAAUGGACAGAGUACCAACUGCUGCUUAGCUCUGAAUCUACUGCCUCGGUCCCCAACCUUCCUGGUGGACUCAACACAAGACAUAAAGUCACAGUUCAUGCUGACUCUUCCUGGAGGCCAGUGAAGAAGAGGACUCAGGUUCUAGCCAGGCUGCAGCAUGAGAUCAACUGUGGGAGGCCUCAGAAGAAUGCUGGAGGGAGAGAUCCUGCACAGGGAGAACAGCUUCCAGUGUGAACCUCCUUCAUGAGACAUGGAAGAUUCUCUUGGCCAGUGAGGAGUUAAAAUCUUGUAUCUGGAUGCGAAUAUCCUUACAAAGAUUUAUGAGGUCCCUUCUAUCCAAUCCCCUUUUCUGCUACUCUAACAUGUCUCUUUCAUAUGUUGCUUCUGGAGCCUGGAAUACCUUCUAGCCGAGACUGCAAGCCACCCUGGUCUCUGACACUUCCUCCCUCUUCUCACAAACCACUCAACUGCUACACUCUUGGCAUGCAGCACCCCCCACCCCCCGUGUUCAGUAUACUGCUGGUUAAAAGUUACUUAGCAGUGUAUGCCUUACUACGGAGUAAAGAUUCUAGGAGGGCCAAGACUA